AGGGCUCUUCCUGUGUCAUGGCGCCGAAGAACUUUCCCCUCGCACAUUGCACAUUGUACCCUGGCUGGAUACGCUGCUUUCUGUGAACUCUACAAGCUAUAGUCUGUAUUGGAAAUACCCUAGGAGACCCUCAAGCUGCGCAAUGGAAAUCUUGUUAUACUGGGAGCCAUAAUGAUAGGGCCUAAUACCACCUGAAAUCCAUACCAGAGCCUGAAAUACUGAUGCUUUUGCAGGUCCGGCCUCUGCACCUGGAUUAUCAAUAAAAUGUGAGCUCAUAGAGGCAAUCUUGGUUUUUAUUAACAAACAGUUUUC
rnacentral:lncRNA from 1 species